rnacentral:lncRNA from 1 species
AUACUGGCUGAAGGACAGUUCAGCAUAUGGAGUCUAUUCCGAGAAUUUAUACAGCAGACUUCUCUGGAGGGAGAGAAAUCAAAACACAUGUUUUUCAAAAGUGCUGGAAUGGCCUGAUUAGCAGAAAUUACAAAUGGUCUGGAAGAGUUAAAAAGCACAGUAAUUUGAACAGCCAGACAUCAUCCAAAACCCUUCAGGAAUUGUUCUUCUCCCCAGAGAUUUCAUGUUCCCGGCAAUCUCUGUACAAAGCUGUCAGCUUUAAGUGGGCUGAGAGACAAUAUUGGCAUUGGCAUGUUCCCAGUACAAAAAUAAGUGGAGAAACUGACAUACAAGUGAAGUCCCAUUUAAAGCAUCAUAUGGAGCAUCACCUUGCUCGAAGGCUGAAGCAGCCUGUUGGAUGUCAGGCAACACUUCAGGAUGAAAGUCAAGCUGCCUUGGGAAAUACAGAGGCUUUUACUCUGAGGUCCAAAGAAAAAACUACAGAUCAGGCCAGAAGUCACCAUGCAAAUUCCAGUGCAUUUUCAGAUGGAUCUCAACAGAAGAAUAAAACCUGUUUAUCAGAAGAGGAGUUAUUCUUCAAAAGGCACACAACAGCAAUGCAGAGAGGGGUUUUCAUUGGGCAAAAGCAUGACAAUCCUGUCAUCCCAGAAAUCUUAUCAAAGGAGAACUUAGACAAUUAA